UGGCCCAGGCCAAGUCUAGGUGCAGCGGACUCCGUUCACGCUGCCUUUUCUUCUCCCGUCCAUCCCGCGGCGCUCUCUCUCGUGGCGACGACUGGCCGACCACCGCCGCCGACGCCGCCACCCUACGCCAGGUUUCCAAGCCUUCGUCGCGGUCGCCGGCAACGAGCACCCACCAGCACUAAGCAUCAUGUCGGAAAGAGGUCGCCUGCCAAGGCGAUUGAUUGAGGAUCGCAGGGCGUACCAUGAAGGCCUUCGAGUUGACGAUCCCAGAGGUUAUCCUGAAGUCCUUGUGGUUGGGGAUCGUAGGGGCUACUCUGACAUCCGUGUGGUUCAAGAACGUCGGGGCUAUCCUGACCCCCGUCUGCUUGAGGAACGCAGGGGCUACCCUGGUGUUCGUAUGGUUGAUGAUCAUAGGGGCUAUCCUGGCAGUCGUGGGCUUGAUGAACGUAGGGCCUAUCCUGAGAUCCAUGAAGGCCCACGCAUGAGGGGAGCUCCACACCCUCACCCAGCUGUCUUAGAGGAUGAGCUCGAGUUACAGGAAGUUGAACUCCGGAGGCUUUUGGCACAUAACUGGGCUCUGGUUCAGGACCGUGAAGUGUUAAGCAGGGAAAUACAAGCUGGAAAAGAUGAGGUCCGCCAGUUGAACAUGAUCUUUGCAGACAUUAGCACUGAGAAGGAAGCUUAUAUCAGUAAGCUUGUGGACAAGAGGAGGAAGCUUGAAGCUGAACUUGGAGCAAGUGAGCAAUUGCAUGAUGAGAUCAGGCAGCUUCGUGGUGAAAUUGACAAGCUCGUUACUGCUACGAAAGAACUAUCUGUAGAGGCUGCAUCUCUCAUGGGAGAGCUGAACAGGGAACAGUCCGUUAAACAGCAGCUACCUGUGCUGAAAACAGAACUUGAUGGUCUGCAACAGGAACUUAUUCAUGUGAGGACUGCUUGCGGACUAGAGCAGAAGGGGAAUUUGGAAUUGCUGGAACAAAGGAAGGCAAUGGAGAAGAAUAUGCUUUCUAUGGCACAAGAGACUGAACAGAUGCGCGGUGAAUUAGCUAAAUUUGAAGUUAGACCAUGGGGCACAGGUGGAACAUAUGGGAUGCUGAUGGGUAGUCCUGAUGUGACCUUCACUAAGAACCCAUAUGAAGAUAGCUACAAUAUCCAUGCGGGGGUUUCUGAGAAAGGUCCUUUGCAUCCUCCUGAAUCUGGUUCAUGGGGGACAUAUGACAAGAAUCGCCUUCAUUACCGCUAAGAUCAGAACUUUGUCAUUGGAGAAAGAGUUACCUUCUAGGUUUUAAUGGUCAUAUCACAUCGUUUACAGUACCUAAGGGUGAAAUUCUUAGUUGGUCCUUGUCACCAGAAAAAAAGAAGAUUUAAUUCGUGAGUCGAAAAGAGCAGUACUAUAAAAAAUGCUCAUGCCAAAGGUUGUCUGUCAGAUAACUUUCAUGAACCAGGCAAAUCACACAUCCAGAUAUGUGUACAAGAACUCAAUAAUCAAAUGGUUUAGCAAUUGGAGAUAUGAGCAGAAGCCUGGGAAACCAUAUGAAGGCACAGCACCCAUUGUUGCGACACUUGACGGAACAUGAAUGUGACACCAUGGGCAUCAACAGAGCAUGUGAAAAUGUUUUUCAGUGCAUCAAAGCUUCCAAACUUUGGUUUGUUUGGAAACCUUUGCUCUAUGUCUAGUGUGAUUUCCUCUGAGAAAGAUGAAAACAGGCUGUUGCAAAAUGUGAGAGCUUACAGUUUUGAUCAUUGGUCGGUUUACUUGUGUCAGGCCUUCAACUUUCGAAGUUGAAACAUUUUCGGGGUGUUCAGCUGCCUGUCCCUUUGCUCCUGGACCAAAUGAAUUUGUAUCUUAAUUUAGUUAUUUAUUAUGAUCAGUAUUUGGAUGAACUUACCAGUUUAUGCAACAGUGGAGCUUGAGAUCAGUAGGGCCAUCUGAGCUUCUGCAAUCUGGAAUAUAGCAAACCUGUUGGUUGUUGAACUUCAGUCACUUGCAUGAUUCAAGAGCCCAUGAAUGAGUUUAACAGAGUCCAUAAUCCAUGUGAUUGAAGCCCAGAAUGUGAUCCUGUUGGUGUAAUGCCAUGCUUUUCAGAAGAUGUGGGUAUGACCGCACUCAUGGGUGUCAUGGCAAAACAAAAAUGCAAAUCAUAGGACCUGCCCAUACAACAUGGUACCAGCAAGCUUAUAAUGUAUUGAAUAUAUCAUGUUUAUGGUGCUUUGCUUUUGCAAUGAUACCUUCACUAAAGGUUCACCUGGAAUUGAAGGUUUUUAAUACCCAUGUCCGUGUGUGCAAUGUGGCAGCUAGUUGGAAGUUGAGGAAGGGUGUGUACCAUCCAAAGUUGCCCAGCGAAAGGAACCAAUGAUUUCUCAACCUCAGUUGCUUCGUAGACUCAAUUAUCAGUCUCAUUACUGUGGAAAAUCAGUAUCCAUCUUGAGAUGAUAUGCAUCACAGUUUGCAUGAUUUGACUUUGGUCCGUAUCUACCAUGUGUCUGCAGAUUCUCUGUGCUGAAUUGUUUUCUGAAUCCAACUGCACAGUUGUUUGUUGUCUGGACCAUUGUUGGUAAAAGUGAGAUUGAGAAUGUAAGGCUUUGUACAACAACGUGCCCCAUAAGGCAAUGACAGUUUAUUCUCCAUUCCAUGGUGGUUGAAGGAGAUUAGGAAGGAUCAGUUGGAUUUUGACUUGCUAGGCAUUUCAGUAAGGACUGACCCAAGAAACAGCAUUGACCUUAACAUUUCAGAGGACUGGCUCAAGGAACAAACAGCAUUGACCUGUAAUUGAGCCCAAUACAAAAUGAUAGUGGUUUUCAGGGGCAUGGCCUCCUGAAUCAUCCUCUGUUCAGGAUGGCCAUGUGCAAUGGUUUCAUGUGGACCUACUGGAUUUACAUCCUACAUGCUGGCACAUGAACUUUGGAAAAUUUGGCGAUAAUCAUAUGCGCUUGUGUUUUUAGGUGACUUGCCGAGUUGCCGAUUGCCGUGGAGUUCUGAAUGUUCUGUGCAAUUCUUUGAUGUACUUUGGGCAAGUUAGGCAAUAAUCACUUGCCAUGCGUUUGACACGUGAACAUGAUGUUUUGCCUUUUUGGACGGUAGGGAUUUCUGACAAGGGAAGACACUCAAAACACUAUCCAUCGGACAGGUCUGCGGUAUGUUGCGCUAAUGCGCAACACGUACAUUUGCUUGCCCUGCAUUGCAGACGGAUCUCAAUCUAAUGCGUUCUGAUUAUUGUGGCCGAAUGUUGUUUAGGCUCCAAAAAAGUUUCAGCCCAGGAUGGUCGAUGGAUUAGACAAAAAAAA